UUUCUGGGGGUUUAUUUUAGCUGGCCAUCCUAGAAGUCAGCAUAGCUCAGGAGAAAAAAAAUCCAUAUGAUAAAAGGAAUGUGUGUUUGUAUGCAUGUGCACACAUGUCUUGAUUUUGCUUGAUACAGUUUGAUAGCUGAUAUGCACUGAAAGUUUCUCCACCACAUUGCCAAUCCAAUGGAUUGUUUCUGGCAGAGAUGCCAUAUUUUCACAUUUCCUCUUUCAGUUUGGUCUUUUCUUGCAAAACAUGUUGCCAACAGAGUGUAGGUGCUUCAGAGACAUCCAGUCUACAGCAAUCUAGUCAUUCCAAACAACAGGAUAUUGGUUUUGACUUUGGAAGUUUAUAUUUACUAUGAAGAAUACUGAGUUUUGCCAAACACCUUCUAUAAAGUAUGCUUAAUUUCCAGCCACUACAAGAUAAAUUACAAAGAGAAGGUCUUAGGCAAAAUUGACAAAACACAUAAUUCCAGUUUUACCAAAAUUAAGUUAAAUUUUCAGUCUCUUACAUAGAUAUAUAUUUUCACAAAACAUAAAAUAAUCCUGUUUUUUGUUACAUAUUUUUAUUAUUUUUAUUUAUUAGUGCAUGAUAGUAGUACAUAAUAGUGGGUUGACAAUUCUGCUUUAAUGUCCCCAAGGACAAUGCCAGACUCCAUGUAGCUUUCCUUCUCUGGAACUAUGACAAGAGAAUAUAUUCAUCUUUAUGAAAAUGAACUUGACUUCAAAAUCCACGUUUCUUUCAUUUCCACUAUACUUCAGUAGCUAUAACAUUGUAG
rnacentral:lncRNA from 1 species